rnacentral:rRNA from 1 species
GAUGAACGCUAGCGGCAGGCUUAAUACAUGCAAGUCGAACGGUAAGGUCUCUUCGGAGAUACACGAGUGGCGCACGGGUGCGUAACGCGUAUGCAACCUACCUUUAACUGGGAAAUAGCCCCGAGAAAUCGGGAUUAAUGUCCCAUAUUAUUCUCUGAUAGCAUUAUCGGGGAAUGAAGGCUCCGGCGGUUAUUGAUGGGCAUGCGUGACAUUAGCUAGUUGGUGAGGUAACGGCUCACCAAGGCAACGAUGUCUAGGGGUCCUGACAGGGUUAACCCCCACACUGGUACUGAGACACGGACCAGACUCCUACGGGAGGCAGCAGUAAGGAAUAUUGGGCAAUGGACGCAAGUCUGACCCAGCCAUGCCGCGUGAAGGAUGACUGUCCUAUGGAUUGUAAACUUCUUUUAUGCAGGAAAAAUAGCCUGGUCGUGAACCGGGUUUGAUGGUACUGUAUGAAUAAGCAUCGGCUAACUCCGUGCCAGCAGCCGCAGUAA